rnacentral:rRNA from 1 species
GUGCCAGCAGCCGCGGUAAUACGUAGGUCCCGAGCGUUGUCCGGAUUUAUUGGGCGUAAAGCGAGCGCAGGCGGUUAGAUAAGUCUGAAGUUAAAGGCUGUGGCUUAACCAUAGUACGCUUUGGAAACUGUUUAACUUGAGUGCAGAAGGGGAGAGUGGAAUUCCAUGUGUAGCGGUGAAAUGCGUAGAUAUAUGGAGGAACACCGGUGGCGAAAGCGGCUCUCUGGUCUGUAACUGACGCUGAGGCUCGAAAGCGUGGGGAGCGAACAGGAUU